rnacentral:rRNA from 1 species
UGGGGAAUUUUGGACAAUGGGGGAAACCCUGAUCCAGCCAUCCCGCGUGUGCGAUGAAGGCCUUCGGGUUGUAAAGCACUUUUGGCAGGAAAGAAACGUCAUGGGUUAAUACCCCGUGAAACUGACGGUACCUGCAGAAUAAGCACCGGCUAACUACGUGCCAGCAGCCGCGGUAAUACGUAGGGUGCAAGCGUUAAUCGGAAUUACUGGGCGUAAAGCGUGCGCAGGCGGUUCGGACAGAAAGAUGUGAAAUCCCAGAGCUCAACUUUGGAACUGCAUUUUUAACAACCGGGCUAGAGUGUGUCAGAGGGAGGGGGAAUUCCGCGUGUAGCAGUGAAAUGCGUAGAUAUGCGGAGGAACACCGAUGGCGAAGGCAGCCUCCUGAGAUAACACUGACGCUCAUGCACGAAAGCGUGGGGAGCAAACAGG